UACGUAGGCAGCGAGCGUUGUUCGGAGUUACUGGGCGUAAAGGGUGUGUAGGCGGUUUUCUAAGUUUGGUGUGAAAUCUCCCGGCUCAACCGGGAGGGUGCGCCGAAAACUGGGAGACUAGAGUGCGGGUUGGGAGAGUAGAAUUCCUGGUGUAGCGGUGAAAUGCGUAGAUAUCAGGAGGAAUACCGGUGGUGUAGACGGCUCUCGGGACCGCCACUGACGCUGAGACACGAAAGCGUGGGUAGCAAACAGG
rnacentral:rRNA from 1 species